rnacentral:rRNA from 1 species
UACGUAGGCAGCGAGCGUUGUUCGGAGUUACUGGGCGUAAAGGGUGUGUAGGCGGUUGUUUAAGUUUGGUGUGAAAUCUCCCGGCUCAACUGGGAGGGUGCGCCGAAUACUGAAUGACUUGGAGUGCGGGAGAGGAGAGUGGAAUUCCUGGUGUAGCGGUGAAAUGCGUAGAUAUCAGGAGGAACACCGGUGGUGUAGACGGCUCUCUGGGCAGUAACUGACGCUGAGGAGCGAAAGCGUGGGGAGCGAACAGG